GUGCCACACCGCGGUAAUACGAAGGGUGCGAGCGUUAAUCGGAAUUACUGGGCGUAAAGCGUGCGUAGGUGGUUGGCUAAGUCCGAUGUGAAAGCCCUGGGCUCAACCUGGGAAUGGCAUUGGAUACUGGCUGGCUGGAGUGCGGUAGAGGGCAGCGGAAUUUCCGGUGUAGCGGUGAAAUGCGUAGAGAUCGGAAGGAACACCCGUGGCGAAGGCGGCUGCCUGGACCAGCACUGACACUGAGGCACGAAAGCGUGGGGAGCAAACAGGAUUAGAUACCCUGGUAGUCCACGCCCUAAACGAUGCGAACUGGACGUUGGGCUCAACUUGGAGCUCAGUGUCGAAGCUAACGCGUUAAGUUCGCCGCCUGGGGAGUACGGUCGCAAGACUGAAACUCAAAGGAAUUGACGG
rnacentral:rRNA from 1 species